AGAGGGUGCAAGCGUUAAUCGGAAUUACUGGGCGUAAAGCGCGCGUAGGUGGUUUGUUAAGUUGGACGUGAAAUCCCCGGGCUCAACCUGGGAACUGCAUUCAAAACUGACAAGCUAGAGUAUGGUAGAGGGUGGUGGAAUUUCCUGUGUAGCGGUGAAAUGCGUAGAUAUAGGAAGGAACACCAGUGGCGAAGGCGACCACCUGGACUGAUACUGACACUGAGGUGCGAAAGCGUGGGGAGCAAACAGGGAUUAGAUACCCUGGUAGUCCACGCCGUAAACGAUGUCAACUAGCCCGUUGGGAGCCUUGAGCUCUUAGUGGCGCAGCUAACGCAUUAAGUUGACCGCCUGGGAGUACGGCCGCAAGGUUA
rnacentral:rRNA from 1 species